UACGGGGGGGGCAAGCGUUGUUCGGAAUUACUGGGCGUAAAGGGCUCGUAGGUGGUCAACUAAGUCAGACGUGAAAUCCCUCAGCUUAACUGGGGAACUGCGUCUGAUACUGGAUGGCUUGAGAUUGGGAGAGGGAUGCGGAAUUCCAGGUGUAGCGGUGAAAUGCGUAGAUAUCUGGAGGAACACCGGUGGCGAAGGCGGCAUCCUGGACCAACACUGACACUGAGGAGCGAAAGCCAGGGGAGCAAACGGG
rnacentral:rRNA from 1 species